rnacentral:lncRNA from 1 species
AUCCCCAACCCCCUGCCUGACUUGUUUUUAUUAUUAUUUUUUUAAGUAGGUGCACAUUCUUCAGGCUUCCUACUCUUCUUGUGCACAGUAUAAAGUGAUAGGUUGAAAAUGAGAAAAAAAAGGAGUAAAACGAAUUUCUUUGAUCCUCAAAUUGAUUCUCAUUAAAAUAGAGAUUGAAGCAAUGUUGACUGGGUUCCUACUAUUUUUAAAUCUGCACGAGUCUUCAUACAGUAGCAUCAUGUAUUCAUGGUCAUUUUGAAGAACUACUUAGAUUAACCUGACCUCUAUAAUGGAUAUUUUUGACAUCACUUUGAGUAGUACAUGCCCAGGAAAAUACUCAGAAUGAACAAGUGAAUAAAUAAAGCUCCUUCUAAACAUAUGUCCUAGCAAUUCCAUUUAUAUGUUUUUUUUAAAGCCUGCUGACUAAGAAUUGGAUAAGGUUUGCUAUAUUGCUAGUGCUGUUGUGAGCUUAUAGAGUUAAGUGGCAUAUGUCAGAUUGUAUGUAAACAUGUCUGAGGACCAAAAAGAUGUCAGUUUACACCAGAAAUUAUUGGCUGCUGGUUACGUUUGUGUAAAAAUUUAGACCUCUACACUGGAAAUAAUCAGAAGGCAUGUAACCGCAGGUUAAUAUAUGAUGAUCUCAUUGUUUCUGUAAUUAAUGUCUAGAACUAAAAUAAAAGAUUAAUUGGUGAAAUGAUUUGCUUACUUGAUGAAAAAUACUGGCAAUAUCUUGGAAACAUGUAAAUUUGCUUUAAAUUAAAAACAUACAUUUCUGUUAGAGUAAAAGGUUAUUUCC